rnacentral:rRNA from 1 species
GGGUCAGUAGGUUGGUCGUGCCACCGGUACGUACUGGUCUCACUGAUUCCUCCUUCCUGAAGAACCGUAAUGCCAUUAAUUUGGUGUUCCGGGGAAACAGGACUGUUACUUUGAAAAAAUUAGAGUGUUUAAAGCAAGCUAACGCUUGAAUACAUUAGCAUGGAAUAAUGAAAUAGGACGAUCGAUCCUAUUUUGUUGGCUUCUAGGAUUGACGUA